CAAAUUGGAGCUUGAAUAGUUAAGCAUUUCACUUACAUUGAAAAUUUAUCGUGCAAUUCGAUUUAAUUUGA
rnacentral:tRNA from 1 species